CUUGCUUUUUCGACAACUGUCAUUUGGGAAUUGUGCUAAAUUGAAUUGAUUGUAUGACAGCAGUUUUGGGCUACUUGAGUGAAAAUGAACUAAUUGAACACCAUUCAGGAGGCCAUAUGUAUAAAAUAGUUGGUGUUUUUCGGAAGAGGAGACAACGCAGCUGCUGGGCAGAUACACCAGAACUCCGACAAGCCAGAUGUCUUUUGGGUGGCUAUAAUCGUAAACGAUUUAAGCAAGUAAUAACCAUGGGUAUUUAUAUUUAUAGGAAAGCGAGGAGGAAUCCUCAAUGCACAUCCUAGCAGAGUGUUUUGCCUUAACCAGGAAAGGAUGCAGCAUUUUAGGUAUGCAUGUUAUGAGCUUCAAAGACAACCCAGCAAGGAACCUAGCAUUUGUGCAGGAGGAGCUGGGCUCAGAAGGGAGCACAAUUAUAAUAACAAAGAGUCGUCGAACAGUUGUAAUUAAGAGAUACAUGUUAACUACAAAUAUAAAUAUUGAAUUUUCG